UCCUUUGUGGUGCAGGGAGUUAAAGAUCCAGCAUUGUCACUUCUGUGGCUUGAGUCACUGCUGUGGCAUGGGUUUGAUCCCUGGCCCAGGAACUUUCACGUGCUGUGGGCAUGGCAAAAAUAAAUAAAUAAAUAAAAGAUAUAAGAAGAGGAAAUGACACAGGGAGACAACGGAAAAGAAGGAGAUAGAAGCAGAGAUUUGAGAUAUGGGUCUCCAGCAAAGGGACACCAAGGAUUGCAAGCAAUCACCAGAAGCUGGAGAAGGAUGGGCUGAUUUUUCCCUCCAAGCCUCCAAGGAACCAACCCUACUGACAUGUCAAUUUCAAACUCCAGCCUCCUGAAUGAUGAGAGAAUCAAUUUAUGUUCUUUUCAACCCCUGAGUUGGUAGUAAGUCGUUCUGGCAGUCCCAGGAAACUAAUACAGUGAUGUAACAACAGUUUUAAACCGAAAGAACAGAAGUGUUUAUCUGUAGGUGGUGUCCCAAUCAAACGAGACACACUGAGAAAAGUAAAAAGGAUUGACUGGAGGAUGUUGCCGGAUCUGAAAAUAGGCUGCUGCUUUAAUUAAAAACCAUCACUCUUCAUAAAUAGCCUGCAAAGAUGAACGGACUGCCCGGCUUGUUCUCAGUUAUUCUCCACAGCCGUGAACACGUUGUAUUGGAGUCGUUUGUCUUCUGCAAGGGCCCUUUCGUAUUCUCAGAGGAGGCUCUGUGUCCUCACAGAGGGACUGGCGGCUGGCAAGUCACAGAACGAGGAGACAUCAAGAGUGCUCAAGUCGCGGCUCAGUUUUCACGCUAAGAAAGAGGAUCAGUCAUCUCAUUUGUGGGGCCCCAAAUGAAACUGUUGCACCUCCUCUGAUUCAAAUCUUACUGAUAAUUUCAAGACCGUGAGAGCCACCUCCACCAAGGAAUAUCUUACAGGUGUCUCUGCAGGGCGGGGCUUGAGUAAUAGACUCUUAUGAAUCCUGUAUACAUUAUUGUCAACUUUUUGGGUGUCCGCUAAUGUGGAAAAAGUGCUAUCAUGUCAGUGUUUUCCCUGACAACUCAAUAUUCUCUGGAAUUAGGGUAAGGAAUUUUCUACUUUCUCCCCAGUUAUGUUAAUUCAAACACACUUGUAACACAAUACCUCAUUUUAAGUUUCAUCUCAAAGACAGUUGCAAGCUAUAGCCCAGUUCCGAGAAUUUUGGAGAGUACUUUAAAUUUUCCUCCAGUACCCUAAUAAAGUCUCCAUCGUUUGGCA
rnacentral:lncRNA from 1 species